ACGUGAUAAGCCGCGAUAGGCCACGGCGAGGUGCAAGUAACCCUUGACCCGUGGAUUUCCGAAUGGGGCAACCCGGCCGUCUGGAUGACGGUCAUGCGUUACACGCAAGCGAACGCGGGGAACUGAAACAUCUCAUUACCCGCAGGAGAAGAAAACAACAGUGAUUCCCCCAGUAGUGGCGAGCGAACGGGGAAGAGCCCAAACCGGUACCGUUUCGGCGAUACCGGGGGCAUGGGACCACGACAUUCGACGGUGAACGAAGUGCAAUUACCUGGAAAGGUAAGCCGCGGAGGGUGAUAGCCCCGUGCACGACAGUGAAUCGAAGAUAGUGGUAUCCCGAGUAGGGCGGGACACGAGGAAUCCUGCCUGAAUUCGCCAGGACCCCCUGGCAAGGCUAAAUACUCCCGAGAGACCGAUAGUGAACCAGUACCGCGAGGGAAAGGUGAAAAGUACCCCGAGCAGGGGGGUGAAAUAGACCCUGAACCCGCGCGCCUACAAGCGGUCGGAGCUGCCUUGUGCAGUGACGGCGUGCCUUUUGCAUAAUGAGCCUACGAGUUAGUCGUCACCAGCGAGGUUAAGGGCUUCAGGCCCGUUAGCCGAAGUGAAAGCGAGCCUUAACAGGGCGUCGAGUUGGUGGCGCUAGACGCGAAACCUUGUGAUCUACCCUCGUGCAGGUUGAAGUCCCGGUAACACGGGAUGGAGGACCGAACCGGUAAACGUUGAAAAGUUUUCGGAUGACGCGAGGGUAGGGGUGAAAGGCCAAUCAAACUGGGAAAUAGCUCGUACUCUCCGAAAUGCAUUUCGGUGCAGCCUGUGGUGUUCUGUUCUAGAGGUAGAGCUACUGAUUGGACGCGAGGGCUUCACCGCCUAUCAAAUCCGGAUAAACUCCGAAUGCUAGAACAUCAAACCAUGGAGUGAGCCCGCGGGUGCUAAGGUCCGCGGACGAGAGGGGAAGAACCCAGACCACCGGCUAAGGUCCCGGAUGGACGGUUAAGUUGAUAAAACGAGGUGGGAUCGCGGAGACAGCUAGGAUGUUGGCUUGGAAGCAGCCAUUCAUUUAAAGAGUGCGUAACAGCUCACUAGUCGAGCGAUCUGGCGUGGAUAAUAAUCGGGCAUAAACGAUCUGCCGAAGCCGUGGAUGUCGCAAGACAUGGUAGGGGAGCAUUCCAUGCCGCGUCGAAGAUGAGGGAUGACCCUUGUUGGAGCGCAUGGAAAAGCAAAUGUAGGUAUGAGUAACGAUAAGGGGGGCGAGAAACCCCCCCGCCGAAAGACCAAGGUUUCCUGAUCAACGCUAAUCGGAUCAGGGUGAGUCGGGACCUAAGGCAAAGCCGAACGGCGCCGCCGAUGGAAGAAUGGGUUAAUAUUCCCAUACUGCCUCAUGGAGUGACGUGGAGACGGAGAAGUGACAGUCCUGCCGGCUGACGGAAUAGCCGGUUGAAGGGUGUAGAUAUUGAUUCCCGUAGGCAAAUCCGCGGGGAGAGUCGAACCUGAGAGUAUACGGAGCGCUUGCGCAACGUAAUAUGGACGUAACCAUGCUCCCGAGAAAAUCCGCUAAACUUAUCCAUGCGGCACCCGUACCGUAAACGGACACACGUGGUCGGGUUGAGAAUACUGAGGCGCUCGAGUGAUUCACGGUUAAGGAACUAGGCAAAUUGACCCUGUAACUUCGGGAUAAAGGGUCCCAACGAGAGUUGGGCGCAGAGAAUAGGUCCAGGCAACUGUUUAACAAAAACACAGGGCUGUGCAAAAUUGAAAGAUUACGUAUACAGCCUGACACCUGCCCGGUGCUGGAAGGUUAAGAGGAGAUGUCAUCGCAAGAGAAGCAUUGAAUUGAAGCCCCAGUAAACGGCGGCCGUAACUAUAACGGUCCUAAGGUAGCGAAAUUCCUUGUCGGGUAAGUUCCGACCUGCACGAAUGGUGUAAUGAUCCGGACGCUGUCUCAACCAUGAGCCCAGUGAAAUUGUAGUAUCGGUGAAGAUGCCGAUUACCCGCGAUGGGACGAAAAGACCCCGUGAACCUUUACUAUAGCUUAACAUUGAAUUUGGGUAAUUGAUGUGUAGGAUAGGCCGGAGACUUCGAAGCAGGUACGCCAGUAUUUGUGGAGUCGCUGUUGAAAUACGGCCCUUUGAUUAUUUGAGUUCUAACUCGUUGAUGCGAGGACACUGUUUGGUGGGUAGUUUGACUGGGGUGGUCGCCUCCAAAAGUGUAACGGAGGCUUCUAAAGGUGCCCUCACGACGAUUGGUAACCGUCGGCAGAGUGUAAUGGCAUAAGGGCGCUUGACUGGGAGACUUACAAGUCGAUCAGGUAGGAAACUAGAGCAUAGUGAUCCGGUGUUUCCGUAUGG
rnacentral:rRNA from 1 species